GGGGGAUAUUGCACAAUGGGCGCAAGCCUGAUCCAGCAAUGCCGCGUGCAGGAUGAAGGCCUUCGGGUUGUAAACUGCUUUUGUACGGAACGAAAAGCCUCUCUCUAAUACAGGGGGGUGAUGACGGUACCGUAAGAAUAAGCACCGGCUAACUACGUGCCAGCAGCCGCGGUAAUACGUAGGGUGCAAGCGUUAAUCGGAAUUACUGGGCGUAAAGCGUGCGCAGGCGGUUUUGUAAGACAGUGGUGAAAUCCCCGGGCUCAACCUGGAACUGCCAUUGUGACUGCAAGGCUGGAGUGCGGCAGAGGGGGAUGGAAUUCCGCGUGUAGCAGUGAAAUGCAUAGAUAUCACGAGGAACUCCGAUUGCGCAGGCAGCUUACCAAGCCGUAACUGACGCUCAAGCACGAAGGCGUGGGGAUCAAACA
rnacentral:rRNA from 1 species